rnacentral:rRNA from 1 species
UACGGAGGGUGCAAGCGUUAUCCGGAUUUACUGGGUUUAAAGGGUGCGUAGGCGGGUUUCCAAGUCAGUGGUGAAAGCUCCGAGCUUAACUCGGAAAUUGCCAUUGAUACUGGAAGUCUUGAAUUCAGUUGAGGUCGGCGGAAUGUGUCGUGUAGUAGUGAAAUACUUAGAUAUGACACAGAACACCAAUUGCGAAGGCAGCUGGCUAAUCUGACAUUGACGCUGAGGCACGAAAGCGUGGGGAUCAAACAGG